rnacentral:rRNA from 1 species
GACGAACGCUGGCGGCGCGCUUAACACAUGCAAGUCGAACGGAAAGGCCUGCUUUCCCUUGUGGAUUGCGGGUACUCGAGUGGCGAACGGGUGAGUAACACGUGAGUGAUCUGCCCCCAACUUGGGUAUAAGCCUGGGAAACUGGGUCUAAUUCCCGAUAGGACUGCAGGGUGGUGCCUGUGGUGGAAAACGAUUUUCUAGUGGUUGGGGAUGAGCUCGCGGCCUAUCAGCUUGUUGGUGGGGUAAUGGCCUACCAAGGCGGCGACGGGUAGCCGGCCUGAGAGGGUGGACGGACAAAUUGGGACUGAGAUACGGCCCAGACUCCUACGGGAGGCAGCAGUGGGGAAUAUUGCACAAUGGGCGGAAGCCUGAUGCAGCGACGCCGCGUGGGGGAUGACGGCCUUCGGGUGGUAAACUCCUUUCGACCGCGAGGAAGCCACCUGGUUGGAAGGGUGGUGACGGUAGUGGUAGAAGAAGCACCGGCUAACUACGUG